rnacentral:rRNA from 1 species
AUUGAACGCUGGCGGCAUGCCUUACACAUGCAAGUCGAACGGCAGCACGGGUGCUUGCACCUGGUGGCGAGUGGCGAACGGGUGAGUAAUAUAUCGGAACGUACCUUAUUGUGGGGGAUAACGCAGCGAAAGCUGUGCUAAUACCGCAUAAUCCCUAAGGGGGAAAGCGGGGGAUCGUAAGGCCUCGCGCAAUUAGAGCGGCCGAUACCUGAUUAGCUAGUUGGUGAGGUAAAGGCUCACCAAGGCAACGAUCAGUAGCUGGUCUGAGAGGACGAUCAGCCACACUGGGACUGAGACACGGCCCAGACUCCUACGGGAGGCAGCAGUGGGGAAUUUUGGACAAUGGGGGCAACCCUGAUCCAGCAAUGCCGCGUGAGUGAAGAAGGCCUUCGGGUUGAAAAGCUCUUUUGUCAGGGAAGAAACAGCAGCUCUAACACAGUUUGCGAAUGACGGUACCUGAAGAAUAAGCACCGGCUAACUACGUGCCAGCAGCCGCAGUAAAAC